AAAAAAAAAAGAUAAAACCGACCUACCCUACCUAAGUUUUUAUGAGAAGAAACCGGAAACCCACAUAUAUUUUUUUUGGCCUUACAGUUCAAUGAUAUUGACAGGAGUAAGUUAUAGACAGUGAUAUUUUUCAACUAAUGUAGGCUGAAGAUAUACAGUUUGAUCCAAAGUUAUAUGGUGCCUGUUCAAAUGAUGUGCAAAAACUCUGUCUUCACGUGCAUAAAGAUGGUCCGGCUGCGGU
rnacentral:lncRNA from 1 species